UCACCCACGGGACGCAGCAGUGGGGAAUAUUGCACAAUGGGGGAAACCCUGAUGCAGCGACGCCGCGUGAGCGAUGAAGUAUUUUGGUAUGUAAAGCUCUAUCAGCAGGGAAGAAAAUGACGGUACCUGACUAAGAAGCCCCGGCUAACUACGUGCCAGCAGCCGCGGUAAUACGUAGGGGGCAAGCGUUAUCCGGAUUUACUGGGUGUAAAGGGAGCGUAGACGGCGAUGCAAGCCAGAUGUGAAAGCCCGGGGCUCAACCCCGGGACUGCAUUUGGAACUGUAUAGCUAGAGUGUCGGAGAGG
rnacentral:rRNA from 1 species